AUUGAACGCUGGCGGCAUGCCUUACACAUGCAAGUCGAACGGUAACGGGCCUUCGGGUGCCGCCGAGUGGCGCACGGGUGAGUAAUACAUCGGAACGUGCCCGAUCGUGGGGGCUAACGAGGCGCAAGCUUUGCUAAUACCGCAUACGAUCUACGGAUGAAAGCAGGGGACCGCAAGGCCUUGCGCGGGCGGAGCGGCCGAGGGCAGAUGAGGUGGUUGGGGGGAUAAAAGCUUACCAAGCCGACGAUCUGUAGCCGGGGUGAGAGGAUGAUCGACAGCCUUGGGAUUGAAAAACGGCCCAGCCCCCUACGGGAGGCAGGAGGGGGGAAUUUUGGAAAAGGGGCGCGACGCUGAGCCAGCCAGGCCACGUGAAGGAAGAAGGCCUUCGGGUUGAAAAGUGUUUUUGGACGGAAAAAAAAGCCUUCUUUUAAAACAGGAGGGUCAGACCGGUACCGAAAGGAAAAGCACCGGCUAACUACGU
rnacentral:rRNA from 1 species